GAUGAACGCUGACGGCGUGCCUAAUACAUGCAAGUAGAACGCUGAAGGAAGGAGCUUGCUCUUUCCGGAUGAGUUGCGAACGGGUGAGUAACGCGUAGGUAACCUGCCUGGUAGCGGGGGAUAACUAUUGGAAACGAUAGCUAAUACCGCAUAACAGUAGAUGUUGCAUGAUAUCUACUUAAAAGGUGCAAUUGCACCACUACCAGAUGGACCUGCGUUGUAUUAGCUAGUUGGUGAGGUAACGGCUCACCAAGGCGACGAUACAUAGCCGACCUGAGAGGGUGAUCGGCCACACUGGGACUGAGACACGGCCCAGACUCCUACGGGAGGCAGCAGUAGGGAAUCUUCGGCAAUGGACGGAAGUCUGGCCGAGCAACGCCGCGUGAGUGAAGAAGGUUUUCGGAUCGUAAAGCUCUGUUGUAAGAGAAGAACGAGUGUGAGAGUGGAAAGUUCACACUGUGACGGUAUCUUACCAGAAAGGGACGGCUAACUACGUG
rnacentral:rRNA from 1 species